rnacentral:misc_RNA from 1 species
UCGAAUUACUGGCGAGGGUUGUAGCUGGCCUUUCGAGGCAUGUGCACGCCCGAGCCCUUAAUCCAAUUACACCUGUGAACUUAUUGUGGGGACGCCUUUCGGGGCGCUUCCCAUGUCUUUACAUCCACCCUUUACGUAUGUCUAUAGAAUGUCAAUUUAUUUUGUUGCCUUAAAAACGCAAUCAAUA